rnacentral:rRNA from 1 species
UACAGAGGUCCCAAGCGUUGUUCGGAUUCAUUGGGCGUAAAGGGUGCGUAGGCGGUGGGGUAAGUUGGAUGUGAAAUCUUGGGGCUUAACCUCAAAAUUGCAUUCAAUACUGCUCCGCUCGAGUUCUGUAGAGGAGAUUGGAAUUUACGGUGUAGCAGUGAAAUGCGUAGAUAUCGUAAGGAACGCCAGUGGCGAAAGCGAGUCUCUGGACAGCAACUGACGCUGAGGCACGAAGGCCAGGGGAGCAAACGGG